UCACUCGUUACACCCUGCAGAUCAGCUUUGGGCCAGUCAUGCAUACCAAGAUGAUCUCGCAGGCUCCACUCCUCUGGCUGUUACUGCUCUGCAUCCAUGGUUCAAGUGGAGACCGUGUGAUGACCCAGACUCCAGAGUCCCUGGCACCAUCCCUGGGAGACACAGUCACCAUCAAAUGCAAAUGCAGCUCCAGCCUCACAUCUGCAGGAAAGGAGUUCCUAGGCUGGUACCAGCAGAAACCUGGACAAGCUCCUAAACUCAUCAUCACUUUUGCUUCCACACGGCAACCGGGAGUCCCGGCCCGGUUCAGCGGCAGUGGGUCUGGAACAGAUUUCACUCUCACCAUCAGCAGUGUACAAGCUGAAGAUGCUGGAGAUUAUUACUGUCAGCAGAAUUAUGGUGCACCUCUCACAGUGAUACAAACCAGUACAAAAACCUCCCGGCACUCUUCAGAUCAGCACGGCAGGUGCUUCCUUAACAGUCACCUUCGGAGUACAUGUGCUACACAGAGGGGCACAUUUUCUCCUUUGUUGAAAUGA